rnacentral:rRNA from 1 species
ACGCUGGCGGCACGCCUAACACAUGCAAGUCGAACGAAGUAGCAAUACUUAGUGGCAGACGGGUGAGUAACAUGUAGGUAUCUGCCCUUUGGCCUGGAAUAACACGAGGAAACUUGUGCUAAUACCGGAUAAGUCUUUACGGAGAAAGCUUUAUGCACCAUUGGAUGAGCCUGCACUUGAUUAGUUUGUUGGUAGGGUAAUGGCCUACCAAGACUGUGAUCAAUAGCUGAUUUGAGAGGAUGAUCAGCCACAUUGGGACUGAGACACGGCCCAAACUCUACGGGAGGCAGCAGUGGGGAAUCUUGCACAAUGGAGGAAACUCUGAUGCAGCGAUGCCGCGUGAGUGAAGAAGGCCUUUGGGUUGUAAAGCUCUUUCGUCGGGGAAGAAAAUGACUGUACCCGAAUAAGAAGGUCCGGCUAACUUCGUGCCAGCAGCCGCGGUAAUACGAAGGGACCUAGCGUAGUUCGGAAUUACUGGGCUUAAAGAGUUCGUAGGUGGUUGAAAAAGUUGGUGGUGAAAUCCCAGAGCUUAACUCUGGAACUGCCAUCAAAACUUUUCAGCUAGAGUAUGAUAGAGGAAAGCAGAAUUUCUAGUGUAGAGGUGAAAUUCGUAGAUAUUAGAAAGAAUACCAAUUGCGGAAGGCAGCUUUCUGGAUCAUUACUGACACUGAGGAACGAAAGCAUGGGUAGCGAAGAGGAUUAGAUACCCUCGUAGUCCAUGCCGUAAACGAUGUGUGUUAGACGUUGGAAAUUUAUUUUCAGUGUCGCAGCGAAAGCGAUAAACACACCGCCUGGGGAGUACGACCGCAAGGUUAAAACUCAAAUGAAUUGACGGGGACCCGCACAAGUAGUGGAGCAUGUGGUUUAAUUCGAAGAUACGCGCAGAACCUUACCAACACUUGACAUGUUCGUCGCGACUCUAAGAGAUUAGAGUUUUCGGUUCGGCCGGACGAAACACAGGUGCUGCAUGGCCGUCGUCAGCUCGUGUCGUGAGAUGUUGGGUUAAGUCCCGCAACGAGCGCAACCCUCACUUUUAGUUGCCAUCAUUAAGUUGGGCACUCUGAAAGAACUGCCAGUGAUAAGCUGGAGGAAGGUGGGGAUGACGUCAAGUCCUCAUGGCCCUUACGUGUUGGGCUACACACGUGCUACAAUGGUAUCUACAACAGGACGCAAGACUGCGAGGUCAAGCAAAUCCUUAAAAGAUACCUCAGUUCGGAUUGCACUCUGCAACUCGAGUGCAUGAAGCUGGAAUUACUAGUAAUCGUGGAUCAGCGUGCCACGGUGAAUGCGUUCCCGGGUCUUGUACACACCGCCCGUCACACCAUGGGAGUUGGUUCUACCUUAAGGCAAGGUUUCAAACCCUUGACCACGGUAUAGUCAGCGACUGGGGUGGAGUCGUAACAAGGUAGCCGUAGGGGAACCUGCGGCUGGAUUACCUCCUUUCU